AAUGAACGCUGGCGGCGUGCUUAACACAUGCAAGUCGAACGAGAAAGGCGAAUUUCGGUUUGCCGAGUAAAGUGGCGUACGGGUGAGUAACGCGUAGGCAACCUGCCCAUGUGCUUGGGAUAACAGAGCGAAAGUUCUGCUAAUACCGGAUACGAUCAUGGAUCGAGAGAUCGAUGAUGAAAGUCUGCCACUCGGAGAAGCAGACGCACAUGGAGGGGCCUGCGUCCUAUCAGCUAGUUGGUAGGGUAACGGCCUACCAAGGCGACGACGGGUAGCUGGUCUGAGAGGAUGAUCAGCCACACUGGCACUGGAACACGGGCCAGACUCCUACGGGUGGCAG
rnacentral:rRNA from 1 species